rnacentral:tRNA from 1 species
GGUGGGUGUAGCUCAGUGGUAGAGCACAUGCUUAGCAUGCAUGAGGUCCUGGGUUUAAUUCCCAGCACCCCCA